rnacentral:rRNA from 1 species
UACGUAGGGUGCAAGCGUUGUCCGGAAUCAUUGGGCGUAAAGCGCGCGUAGGCGGCCCGGUAAGUCCGCUGUAAAAGUCCAGGGCUCAACCCUGGAACGCCGGUGGAUACUGUCGGGCUAGAGUCCGGAAGAGGCGAGUGGAAUUCCUGGUGUAGCGGUGGAAUGCGCAGAUAUCAGGAGGAACACCGAUGGCGAAGGCAGCUCGCUGGGACGGUACUGACGCUGAGGCGCGAAAGCGUGGGGAGCGAACAGG